rnacentral:rRNA from 1 species
UACGUAGGCAGCAAGCGUUGUUCGGAGUUACUGGGCGUAAAGGGUGCGUAGGCGGUUGUUUAAGUUUGGUGUGAAAUCUCCCGGCUCAACUGGGAGGGUGCGGUGGAGACUGCCGGACUGGAGGCACUCAGAGGCCGGUGGAAUUCCCGGUGUAGUGGUGAAAUGCGUAGAGAUCGGGAGGAACACCAGUGGCGAAGGCGGCCGGCUGGGCAGUGGCUGACGCUGAGGCGCGACAGCGUGGGGAGCAAACAGG